rnacentral:rRNA from 1 species
GUGCCAGCCGCCGCGGUAAUACGAAGGGGGCUAGCGUUGCUCGGAAUCACUGGGCGUAAAGCGCACGUAGGCGGGUUGCUAAGUCAGGGGUGAAAUCCUGGAGCUUAACUCCAGAACUGCCUUUGAUACUGGCAACCUUGAGUCCGGGAGAGGUGAGUGGAACUGCGAGUGUAGAGGUGAAAUUCGUAGAUAUUCGCAAGAACACCAGUGGCGAAGGCGGCUCACUGGCCCGGUACUGACGCUGAGGUGCGAAAGCGUGGGGAGCAAACAGGAUUAGAAACCCUUGUAGUCC